GUGUAUGAUGAUUAAAUAUUUCUUCACUUUGAACUGAUAUCAGCUGAAGAUAUAUUAAGUCUGAAA